CAGCCGCCACGGUAAUACGUAGGGUGCGAGCGUUAAUCGGAAUUACUGGGCGUAAAGCGUGCGCAGGCGGUUCGUUAAGACAGAUGUGAAAUCCCCGGGCUUAACCUGGGAACUGCAUUUGUGACUGGCGAGCUAGAGUAUGGCAGAGGGGGGUAGAAUUCCACGUGUAGCAGUGAAAUGCGUAGAGAUGUGGAGGAAUACCGAUGGCGAAGGCAGCCCCCUGGGCCAAUACUGACGCUCAUGCACGAAAGCGUGGGGAGCAAACAGGAUUAGAUACCCCAGUAGUCCCUGUCUCUUAUAC
rnacentral:rRNA from 1 species